CGCUAUCACUCCUACGGGGAGGCAGCAGUGGGGAAUAUUGCACAAUGGGGGAAACCCUGAUGCAGCCAUGCCGCGUGUGUGAAGAAGGCCUUCGGGUUGUAAAGCACUUUCAGUAGGGAGGAAGGUAGUGUAGUUAAUACCUGCAUUAUUUGACGUUACCUACAGAAGAAAGCACCGGCUAACUCCGUGCCAGCAGCCGCGGUAAUACGGAGGGUGCGAGCGUUAAUCGGAAUUACUGGGCGUAAAGCGCAUGCAGGCGGCCUGUUAAGUCAGAUGUGAAAGACCCGGGGCCGUUAACCUACGGUAAGUUGCAUUUAGUAAACUGGCAGGCUAGAGUCUUGUAGAGGGGGGUAGGAAUUUCAGGUGUAGCGGUGAAAAUGCGUAGAGAUCUGAAGGAAUACCAGUGGCGAAGGCGGCCCCCUGGACAAAGACUGACGCUCAGAUGCGAAAGCGUGGGGAGCAAACAGGAUUAGAUACCCUGGUAG
rnacentral:rRNA from 1 species